rnacentral:rRNA from 1 species
UACGAAAAAAACAAGCGUUGUUCGGAAUUACUAAACGUAAAGGGUUCGUAAAUAACUUGCUUAGUCAGACGUGAAAUCCCUCAGCUCAACUGGAGAACUGCGUCUGAUACUGGCAAGCUUGAGUGCAGGAGAGGAACACGGAAUUCCAGGUGUAGCGGUGAAAUACGUAGAUAUCUGGAGAAACACCGGUGGCGAAGGCAACGUUCUAGACUGCAACUGACACUGAGGAACGAAAGCCAGGAAAGCAAACGAG